rnacentral:rRNA from 1 species
UACGGAGGGGGCUAGCGUUGUUCGGAAUUACUGGGCGUAAAGCGCACGUAGGCGGCUUUGUAAGUUAGAGGUGAAAGCCCGGAGCUCAACUCCGGAACUGCCUUUGAUACUGGCAAUCUUGAGGCUGGAAGAGGUUAGUGGAAUUCCCAGUGUAGAGGUGAAAUUCGUAGAUAUUGGGAAGAACACCAGUGGCGAAGGCGGCUAACUGGUCCAGAUCUGACGCUGAGGUGCGAAAGCGUGGGGAGCAAACAGG